rnacentral:sRNA from 1 species
CAGCGUCUCCUGGCCAGUCCAGGCUUUCGGGGCCGGAUUGGGCAGCAGCCCCUGCAGCCGGUCCCACUGAGUCUGCCCUGCCUUCCAGAUUCUGGUACAGGUCAAAGAGGUCCUCUCCAAGCUGAGCACGCUCGUGGAAACCACACUCAAAGAGACAGAGAAGAUUACAGUAUGCGGGGACACCCAUGGCCAGUUCUAUGACCUCCUCAACAUAUUCGAGCUCAACGGUUUACCCUCGGAGACCAACCCCUAUAUAUUUAAUGGUGACUUUGUGGACCGAGGCUCCUUCUCUGUAGAAGUGAUCCUCACCCUUUUCGGCUUCAAGCUUCUGUACCCAGAUCACUUUCACCUACUUCGAGGCAACCACGAGACAGACAACAUGAACCAGAUCUACGGUUUCGAGGGUGAGGUGAAGGCCAAGUACACAGCCC